GACAGAGGAUGCAAGCGUUAUCCGGAAUGAUUGGGCGUAAAGCGUCUGUAGGUGGCUUUUUAAGUCCGCCGUCAAAUCCCAGGGCUCAACCCUGGACAGGCGGUGGAAACUACCAAGCUGGAGUACGGUAGGGGCAGAGGGAAUUCCGGUGGAGCGGUGGAAUGCGCAGAUAUCAGGAGGAACACCAAUAGCGAAGGCAGCUCGCUGGGACGUUACUGACACUGAGAUGCGAAAGCGUGGGGAGCAAACAGG
rnacentral:rRNA from 1 species